AUGGAUACCCUGCAGAUUUAUGAAAUAUCUCAACUAGAUGUGGCAAUGAGAAUGUGCUCAACUGUCUUCAGCAGUGGAAAAGAAAAUGAUAUACUCCAAGACUCUGACUCUGUUACCAGUGCAAGUUAUGAAAAUGUCUCACCUCCCGUCAGCACCCAGACUGCAUCCACCGUCAUGUCUCUACUUCAUCUUGGCAGAACUGUAAGGUUUCCUAGGGAGGACUGGGACACAUGGCCACGUCUAGGCCAAUCACUGGCAAGAGGACCGAAAUCACCAAUCGUGACUCCUCUCCUGCGAUCUGGGGCGGGUCCAGCCUCCUCUGAUAGAUGAUCUAAAGGAGAACGAAGGGCUGGUUUUUACCAUCUGGAUCCUAGUGUAUAUUUGUGAUCAUCCUAUAAUAAGCUUGUAAUUGUGUUAUAAUAAGUCUGCAUUUCGGACUCUUUCACAUGCUUGAGCCGUGACUACAGCAUUACUCAAGGCACAUUGCCAACACUGAGUCCAAAUGACCUUGCCCCUUUUAUAGCUGCUAGAGGAAGGAGGCAGUCUCCUGCUCACAGCCUACUACUCUGUCCCUCAAGCAUCUUCCAACUUGCACCCUUGAGCAAGAAAGUGCAAACGUUGUGAUUCAAACUGUAGCAGUUGUCCCCUCUAUAUCCCUCCCAUCCCACCCUUUCGGUGUGCUCCCAAGAACAAGGACAACUGCCUACUGCCAGUAUCCAUCUCUGAGCCCGAGGCCUCUUUCUGGAACUAUGCAAAGCUCUCUGCCAGGGACCAACAGUCCCCCUCCCAGCAGCCUUCAACCAACGACUGGCUGAAGUUGGUGUGGUAAGUGCCCGGGUUCCCACCCGCCAUCUGGUGGGCUGGUUCUGAGGCAAGUGUCCUACACCGUUUCCCAGAUUCAGCUCCAGUCCCAGACUAUGACAGUCGGCUUAACUACUCACUCUUUGUUGCCUCUUUCCCUGUCUUGUUGCCCUUCUCCCCUGCUAGCGUUCCCUGCCCUUCCCAAAUAAAUUACUUGCAUUUGAAUCCUUGCCUCUGGGU
rnacentral:lncRNA from 1 species